ensembl:lncRNA
AGUACACAAGGAGCCGUAGGAACAGAACUAUAAAGUACACAAGGAGCCGUAGGAACAGAACUACAGAGUACACAAGGAGCCGUAGGAACAGAACUACAGAGUACACAAGGAGGCGUAGGAACAGAACUACAAAGUACACAAGGAGCCGUAGGAACAGAACUACAGAGUACACAAGGAGCCGUAGGAACAGAGCUAUAAAGUACACAAGGAGCCGUAGGAAAAGAACUACAGAGUACACAAGGAGGCGUAGAAACAGAACUAUAAAGUACACAAGGAGGCGUAGAAACAGAACUAUAAAGUACACAAGGAGCCGUAGGAACAGAACUACAGAGUACACAAGGAGCCGUAGGAACAGAACUAUAAAGUACACAAGGAGCCGUAGGAACAGAACUACAGAGUACACAAGGAGCCGUAGGAACAGAACUAUAAAGUACACAAGGAGCCGUAGGAACAGAACUACAGAGUACACAAGGAGCUGUAGGAACAGAACUAUAAAGUACACAAGGAGCCGUAGGAACAGAACUACAGAGUACACAAGGAGCCGUAGGAACAGAACUAUAAAGUACAGAAGGAGCCGUAGAAACAGAACUAUAAAGUACACAAGGAGGCGUGGAAACAGAACUAUAAAGUACACAAGGAGGCGUAGAAACAGAACUAUAAAGUACACAAGGAGGCGUAGAAACAGAACUAUAAAGUACACAAGGAGGCGUAGAAACAGAACUAUAAAGUACACAAGGAGGCGUAGAAACAGAACUAUAAAGUACACAAGGAGCCGUAGAAACAGAACUAUAAAGUACACAAGGAGGCAUAGAAACAGAACUAUAAAGUACACAAGGAGGCGUAGAAACAGAACUACAAAGGACACAAGGAGGCGUAGAAACAGAACUAUAAAGUACACAAGGAGGCGUAGAAACAGAACUAUAAAGGACACAAGGAGGCGUAGAAACAGAACUAUAAAGUACACAAGGAGGCGUAGAAACAGCAGGAGUCAGGUCCAUUUCACCUCCGGCUCUUUCACUUCUGACACAUUUACACAGUACCAGGGCAGACGGGUCGGGUCUUUGCCUUGUGUUUCAGUCUUGUAAUGGAGGAUUGGGCCACACAGUGGGCCGCACGGUGGGCCGCACGGUGGGCCGCUCGGCGGGUCACACAGUGGGUCGGUUCAAGUUUGACAGUCGUUUUUGUAACAAUGUAAAAGUAAUGAGCACCAAGACUUCAGGAGACAGAGUCCUGUGGAGAAUGAUGUGCCGGUGAAGUGAUAUUAAAAAUGGAAUUAAAUCAAAUAUAUAUCCACGGGUUUCAGAGUAAACCAUUGCCAUAACGA